rnacentral:rRNA from 1 species
GACGAACGCUGGCGGCGUGCUUAACACAUGCAAGUCGAACGGUGAAGCGAGUGCUUGCACUCGUGGAUCAGUGGCGAACGGGUGAGUAACACGUGAGUAACCUGCCCAUCACUCUGGGAUAAGCACUGGAAACGGUGUCUAAUACUGGAUACGACCAACCCUUGCAUGGGGUGUUGGUGGAAAGAUUUAUCGGUGAUGGAUGGACUCGCGGCCUAUCAGCUUGUUGGCGGGGUAAUGGCCCACCAAGGCGACGACGGGUAGCCGGCCUGAGAGGGUGACCGGCCACACUGGGACUGAGACACGGCCCAGACUCCUACGGGAGGCAGCAGUGGGGAAUAUUGCACAAUGGGCGAAAGCCUGAUGCAGCGACGCUGCGUGAGGGAUGACGGCCUUCGGGUUGUAAACCUCUUUCAGCAGGGAAGAAGCGAAAGUGACGGUACCUGCAGAAGAAGCACCGGCUAACUACGUG